GGAGAGGUGACCGAGAGGCCGAAGGUGCACGAUUGGAAAUCGUGUGUACUGCAAGGUACCGAGGGUUCGAAUCCCUCCCUCUCCGCCA
rnacentral:tRNA from 1 species